GGCCAUAGCUCAGUGGUAGAGCAUCUGCUUUGCAUGCAGAAGGGUCCAUGUUCAAUCAUCAGCAUCAUCA